GGCAUGGCGUGCUGCAGUUCAUGGAGUCGCAAAGAGUUGGACACGACUGAGCAACUGAACUGAACUGAAGCAGAUAAAGAUAUUUACUAUUAAUGUGAUCUUGAAGGUCAUACCUGCUAAAUUUAAGAACACAAUUUACUCCACAAGAAUAAAGUAACUGCAUAAUACACAGCAUGAACUUCCAUAAGCUUUAUUCAAAAUGUAGUCCAAAGAAUGCAAAACACUUUGGGAGUUUUCGAUCUUCAAAGCACCAAAAGACACAAAUCUGAAGUGUGUCUUAAUUUCUCAUAUCCAAACUACAAACUUAUUUCUUUUUACACCUUAAAAACAUAAUUUACAAUGACUAAUUCAUCUUUAAAUCAGGAGCAUUUGCAUAAACUUUUCCUCAAAUACAUCCUCUUUAAACCUAGUUAUUAUUAAAGAAUCAAGAAAACCCAUGAAAAGCCGAACAAUGUAAAUCUCUGAAGUCUUACUGCACACUUUUACAAUCUUCCAGCUAGUGUUGAAAAGGUUACCCAUCAUUGGACCUAAUCUGCAUUUACCUAAACAGUUUGAUCACGAAGGCUUCUGGGGCUAGGCUGAGGUGCAGUCAAACCCUUCUCAGUUAGAUGAAUUACCAUAUUUCUGAAUGAUGAUGCACUAGACAAUAAAUUUCUAUUCAGGGCAUUCCUGUCCUAGUAAAAUUUUAUUAUAUACAGGUUUCCACAGCCGCAAUGAUUUCAAAAUAGUAUCCAAAAUUACAUGAAGAAAAAUGUUUAAGAACAGGAAAAAUAAUCCUUCAUUAGAUUCAACAGUGCAAUAUUGGCUCUACUAUUAAAUAAAAGCAAUUCACGCUCUCCUAAGAAAAAAAAAGCAGUUAAAAUUUGAAUUUAUAACUCAAUCUACAUACAUUAGUUCCUGCCUGGGUAGUUUAAAAGCUGCAUUAGAUCAACCACUGAAUUACAACUUCAGGUAUGAAAAGCACAAAGUUCAACUUUCACAUUUUUUUUUUUCAACUUUAACAUUUUAUAAAGAGAACUCAGGAUAGUAGUUAACUGACUUUACCAAGGUCACACAUUGUAUACUAGCUAAGAUUUCUGACUCCCCAAGCCCUGCCCAGAGCUAUUUCCACUACUAAAUACAAUUUAUUUUGAAUGUAUUAAUAAUACAUUAUUUUCUUCCCAACAUCUAAAAUAAUAGUAUUGGCUUAAUAUUUAAUCUGUUUUCAACAACAAUUUUUCGUAAACUGGUUAAAGUAUCUUUCCAAGACACUCAAUGAGACAUUUCACGCCACCGCACAAGAACUCAACCAAGACUUUUGGCAAAAGAAUAUGCUGAUUCAAUGCAUCUAAAUAUCAGUUAUAAUAUUCCAACAUUCCUGUUUUCAGUUUCCACGAUGGAGUUGACUUUGAACUGAAACUUCCUAAGAAGAAAUGCACUUCUUUUAUUCACACUUCCAAGUUACACUUUGAAUAUUCCAAAUAGCUAAGCACAGAAGUUGAAAGCAGUAUCUAGCCAUAAGAAAACUAUUUAGAGGAAUAAAAAGUUCCUUUUUUAAAUGUCUUGCAACAUUAUCCUCUUUGUAAACUCUAAAUUCUACUCACCAGAAUUUAUGUUAAAAUGCAAACAAGAGCUGAAAGACUUCUGACUUCUAAUUUGCCUUAUAAAAGGUGAAAAACACUUUAAUCUGAUAUUAGAACAUAUAUGCAACUUCGAAAAUUUCAUGUAUAGUUUUUCUUUAAUCAGUUAGAAUGUUUCAUGUUUAAAGACACAUAAGUCAUAAAGACAGCUUAAGUGCACCAAAAAUGGCAAAAAACUUUUGCUUUGCUUCACGUCCUUAAAGUUUCCAUUCAACUGAAGUUGAGUUACCACUUGAUGCGGAUGAAACGACUUUCACAUUCCUUCUGACUCUAUCUAAGCUUUUUGACGCGGAAAAACAAGAAUGUCGGAACGUGUGUCUGAUGCAGUUCUGAGUUCAGUUUUAUGGAACAAAUUGGAAACAAACUGCCCAGGAAAAACUGAGAUUUAAGAUUCCUUUUAAAGUAGCGGUACGCGAACACCUGCCAACACAUUUUAUUUUUAAUCGAAGAGCCGAAAACUGUACUGAGCAAUAGCCAUGAAACUCGGGAGCAAAGCAUGCGCGCCAGGCCUAGCAAGAAUAAAAUUUUAAUUAAACCUUGAGGGGAACUGGGUUGUGAGCCCCACAGCGUAAUCUGUCACUGAGCCGAGGCUCUCCUCAGCACCUAGGCGUAGAGAUCCCUGGGCGGAACCGACGCCACCAUCCUGCGAUCUAGACCAGCGCGUGGAUGCUGCGGGCUGGGGGCUAGGGGCUGAAGUGAACGGGUUGUCCGACGCCCGUCAACAGCCUGAGGAGUUAAACUAACAAAGGGCUAAUCGCGCACCAGAGCCCCCUCGGAACGGAAGCAACGCCUCGCGCCGCCCCCCGCCCGCGACCCUCCCUAAGUUCAGGGCCGGCAAUGGACUCGCAGCGGGGCCUGCGGCCAGGCCGGGGCCGGACUCGCGAUCGGGAUGCUGGAAACAGAAUGCUUCUUGACUCAGUUCACAUUCAGAGUUGCCACAAUUUCAAAGGAAAGGAACUUCAUACAAGAAAAAAGUGAAUUCAGAAUUAUUCCAUCACCAAUCUCCAUGACUGGAUUUGAGUAAGAACUUAAUAGAUGUACAGGUAUCCCAGCAGAACAUCAGAAUCACCUUCAGGAAUUUUUCGUCAGAGCUAUUGGGAAAGGCUUCUCUCUUUUCUGGAUUUGCUAAGCUGGAAGCAUAAACAUCUGGGACUUGAGAAACCCAGGAUGAAACUUCAAGAGAUGAGCAGAGCUAGGAGGUAGGGAAACAGCCCUGAUGACAUCAUUUAAGCCCCUGGAUCCAGUAAUAUCUAAAGCCCACUCCAUGUUAACUCCUUUUUCUCUCCUACCAUCUGCUCUGAAGCAGUAGGUUCAAUUGCUCCAGUCCCAGACUUAUUUACCUGAGUUUCUUGCAUUGCAGGCAGAUUCUUUACUGUCUGACACACCAGGGAUGCCCUUGCCCAGCUCACCAGGAGUAAAAAGUCUCACUAUUUCCCAAUCCUGGAUUCCUUGAAUUUCCUUCAGGCAUUUGUGCAAAUGAAACAACUGUUGAGACAAUUAGAACAUGCAAGCACAUGAUUUAUUGUCUUCAUUAACUUUGACCAAAGUCAGGGAGAAAGAUACCAGGUUGGAAUUACCUAGAAGCUCUCUCAAGUCCAUAGGGUCUAGAUAAUCCUUUUUACAAGCAAAUUAUUUUCUUCAUGAUACUACUCUUGUAUCUGCGGUCAAACACUUCCAAAUCAUUUCCAAAAUUCCUCUCUAGAUAGUUCCCCAAGGUUCAGCUAGUGAGACUACCUAUGACUUUGCCCUAUAGUUAUUUACUUAGUGUGCAUGUGGUCUUUGUCAUUAUGAUAAAGAGUAUGUUCUAUUGCUAGAACUACUGUGGGGAAAGAGCGUACAUAUCACAACCUGAGUGAAGCUUGAACCACACCAGACUUAUUUCCACUGUGUUCUUCACUGCCCUUGCUUUUGUGUUCACAAAAAUAGAGACAUUCUGCAAUUUCUACCUGUUUCUCUUCUUGUUUGUCUCCUUCCAAAAUUUCUAGCUGACAUGUUACUUUGUCUUGAAUUUAUUAACUUAUUUUAUUUAUACUAAUUAAUAUAGAUAGCUUAUGUUCCUCCUAUAUAAUAGAUUAUUUCUCUGAAUUUCUCUUUUAGACCAAAAUUGUUCUUUCAGUUCCCUGAAUCUCCCAACUGGCAUGAGCCAACCAGUUUUUCUUUUGCUUGAGCCUGUUUGCACAGGGUUUCUUUCACUAAAAAGUGACUGGAAAAAAAAGUGACUCAAGGACUUCCCUGGUGGUUCAGUGUCUAUAUUCUGUGCUACCAGUGCAGGGGUUCUGGGUUCAAUCCCUGGUCAGGGAAAUAGAUCCCACAUCCUGCAACUAAGAGUUCACAUGCCGCAACUAAGGAUCUCACAAAGCAGCAGUGAAGAUCGAAGAUUCCAUGUGCCACAACUAAGACUUGGCACAGCCAAAUAAAUGAGUAUUUAAAACAAUUAAAAAAUGACUCAAGCUCCUUCAACAACCUGCUCAACUGUUAAACCUUUCCUGGGAGUUUUUAUUCCUACAGCCAAUUACUGGGAUGCUAACUGUCAUAAUGCCUGGGAUUAAAAAUUAAGUUAACUAGAUAAAGGAAGAAAGACAUGGCAGAGUGACCACACGUCUAUUCCUCCUCUCAAGCACCAAUAAAAUAACAGUAAAGAAAUACAAGUUGGAGGGGAAACAGAAACCAAAAAUAUUUAACAAAUUUACAGAAGAUGGAAAGUGAAUGUAGUAAUAACUAAGAGAGCAGAGGGAGUGGAAAUCUAAGCAUUUCAGAGGGGAAUUUCAAUGAAUGAGCUAAUACUGAAAGUCUCAAUGUUUGGAGGUAGCAAGUACCACAAAAGGUGAAGUGAAGAUGUGACUUUUAAAAUUAGUGGGAUUGGUGGACAAGUGUGGAAAAUGGUUGAAUCCCUAGUCCUGGGUCCCCUUCCAACUCUAAGCAGCCAGGUAGAUAUUCCCCCUCUCUACUCACCACUGCUCAGGAGAAUGGAAGUUCGUACUCUGGAGAAAUUAACCCAAAAGGCUCUGAACUUGGAGACCAAGCCACACACAGGGCAAGGACAAGUCACUGAGUUGAAAACUGGUGUAUUGUAUAAGAAGCUAUAUGCUGAACCGCAGAAGCCCUAGCCACGUCCCUUUCCUGCUCCCUGAAUGCCAGCAACCAAACAUAUACCUAAAGAAUCUGCCUACCAAUGCAGGAGACAUGGGUUCCAUCCCUGGUCCAGAAAGAUCCCACAUGCAG